UACGUAGGGGGCAAGCGUUGUCCGGAAUCAUUGGGCGUAAAGCGUGUGUAGGCGGCGGGCUAAGUAUCUUGUGAAAUCCCACGGCUUAACUGUGGAACUGCUGGGUAUACUGGUUCGCUUGAGCGGUCUAGGGGCGAGCGGAACAAAUGGUGGAGCGGUGAAAUGCGUAGAUAUCAUUUGGAACGCCAACGGUGAAAACAGCUCGCUGGGGACCUGCUGACGCUGAGACACGAAAGCCAGGGGAGCGAACGGG
rnacentral:rRNA from 1 species